rnacentral:lncRNA from 1 species
AAACCCAUAUUUCAUGAGUUAUUUUGUGCUUAGUUUGAGUGAUUUAUUCAAUCCUUCACCCACUUAUUCAUAUUAAUUGCAUGGUUUUACUUUCCCUUCCUUAUUAUGUGAUGUAUGUGAAAAACAUGUUUCCUAAGCUUUAAAAUUAAUUAUUUUAAUUACCUUUAUUUCCAUUCGAUGCCGUGAUUAGUGUGUUGAGUAGUUUCAGAUUUUCUAAGGCAGAAUGACUUAAAGGAUGGAAAAGGAAACGUACAAAAAUGGAAGGAAAGUGCGAAACAGAGUUUUGCAGAAACUGGUAUCCACGCGAUCGCAUGGACGACGCGAUCGCGUGCCAGAAGCGAAGAAGCAGCGACGCGGCCGCAUGACUGACGCGACCGCGCGCCUUAAGUAGAACGCAUACGACGCAGACGCGUGACUGACGCGACCGCGUGGCAA